rnacentral:ribozyme from 1 species
UGCCCAGCAACUCCUAUCCCUACCUCCACGCGGUACCGGUCGGAAACUAUGAGCAACCUUAGGGAAGAUCGGGUAACCAACCCCGGUGGGAGCUUUGGUCGUAGGCUGACAGGGAAGG